AACGAACGCUGGCGGCAUGCCUAACACAUGCAAGUCGAACGAGACGUUCGGGUCUUGUGGCGCAGCUGGGCGUAACGCCUGGUGACCUGCCCUUAGGUUCGGUAUCACUCCCCGUAAGGGAUGCUAAUACCGGAGAAUGUCUUCGGACCAAAGAUUUCUCGCCUUUGGGUGGGCGCGCGUUGGCUUAGCUGGUUGGUAGGGUACAAGCGUAGCAAGGCGAGGAUGCUUAGCUGGUCUGAGAGCAUGGUCCUCCACAAUGGGGGUGAGACACGGCCCAGUCUCCUACGGGAGGGAGCAGAGGGGAAUACAGGACGAUGGGCGAAGGCCUGACACAGCCGUGCGGCGGAAGAGGUGAAGCCCUUAGUGUUGUACAGCUCCUUUACCCGAAGCGAUAAUGACGGUACCGGGUAAAUAAGCACCGGCUAACUACGUG
rnacentral:rRNA from 1 species